AAUUUGAAAAUUCUAUUUCUAAUGGGGUUUCUACUAUUUUAGCAAAGUACACAUUAUCUUAGAUGAUAGAAGCAAUUCUCAUCUUGUGAAUAGAAGAUUAAGUAAAAAUAAAGUAUUAAAAAAAUUAAAAUAAUCAUAGAAGACACCGAUUUUAAUUGAGGAAUCAACAUUCCAUUUCUAUUUGCGAGUAAAGUCAUCAUCAAUACAAGUCUUCACAGUAAUCCCCUACUAUUCAUUGGGCGAAUGAGAUUUUCUAGCAACCCAAAUUACAUGGUUCCAAAAUUGACACCAACAGAUUGUCAAAACCUUGUGAAGAUUGCCUGGGAAAAAGUACCUUGUAAGCUAACUAGGGGCAGUGAACUUAAAAUAAGGUAAACAAGAAGGUUUGAAAAAAUACCUGGGAAAGCACAUACAAGCACCCAGAAGAGGCAGCAUAGUUCCAUGCCUUCCAAACAAGUUGGAAGACAUAAUCUUUACUCCUGUAAUAAAUAUACUUGUCGAAAGGGAGCUUCACAGCACAAAUCACCAGUACAAUUGUCAAGAACAGCGGCAAAGUCUUGGCCUUUCCAGUUACAUAUUUCUUGAAAAAUAAAGCCAGAAAUGACAUGAUAAACAAACCAUGAAUGGUUAUUCCCUUUUCAUCCUUCUCAGAGAUUGAUUUUGAUAACAACGCAAGACUUCCAAAGAACAAUGAUCCGAUACAAAUUGGCUCCUACAAACAUUAAAUCAAAAGCUUCACUGUCAUCCUUUGGAUCUAAACCAUUAGAAAAGAGUAGUCAUACCUCAUUUGAGGACCUUGUCGGUGGAUCUGCAGGAACUUUGCUUUCUGGGUUUUGGAGAAUUGAGGUUUUCUCUGGAGCAAUUGCCCUUUUCUUAGCUGAUGAAGUAUUGAAUUUUCGGAAAAAUUUGAGGAACUUAGAUUUCAGGGUGGUAGGUGGUUGCCUGGGAGUUGAAUCAGUUUUCACUUGGAGAAGAAAAGCGUGGAGCCUGAGAAAGAGCGAGAAUUUGAAGAAUUUCCAAGUUGGAUCAAUUUUUCUUGCUUUGAAUUUGAAAUGGAAUUUGCUAGCUCUGGCAUUAAUGUUGAUUUUCCAUGGUAGCUGCUUUCCUUUUCCUGCUUGCAUUGUAUCCAGAAAAAUAUGGGUACCCACUGGCCGUUGAAGCAGCGUGUGAUGGGAUUUUGGGGUUAAUAACUUAGGGUUUUGUUGAGAAAAAGAGAAGGAAGUGACAAAAGUCAAAAGGUAAAGCAGCAAUAAU
rnacentral:misc_RNA from 1 species